CAGUGCCACGGUAAUACGGAGGAUCCAAGCGUUAUCCGGAAUCAUUGGGUUUAAAGGGUCCGUAGGCGGUCUUGUAAGUCAGUGGUGAAAGCCCAUCGCUCAACGGUGGAACGGCCAUUGAUACUGCAGGACUUGAAUUAUUGGGAAGUAACUAGAAUAUGUAGUGUAGCGGUGAAAUGCUUAGAGAUUACAUGGAAUACCAAUUGCGAAGGCAGGUUACUACCAAUUGAUUGACGCUGAUGGAAGAAAGCGUGGGUAGCGAACAGGAUUAGAUACCCCCGUAGUCCCUGUCUCUUAUACA
rnacentral:rRNA from 1 species